GGCCAUAGCUCAGUGGUAGAGUAUCUGUUCUGCACCCAGAACGUCCCAAGUUCAAUCCCCAGGUAGGGCUA